UUUAUUUGAGAGUUUGAUCCUGGCUCAGGAUGAACGCUGGCGGCGUGCCUAACACAUGCAAGUUGAGCGAUUUACUUCGGUAAAGAGCGGCGGACGGGUGAGUAACGCGUGGGUAACCUACCCUGUACACACGGAUAACAUACCGAAAGGUAUGCUAAUACGGGAUAAUAUAUCUGAGAGGCAUCUCUUGAAUAUCAAAGGUGAGCCAGUACAGGAUGGACCCGCGUCUGAUUAGCUAGUUGGUAAGGUAACGGCUUACCAAGGCGACGAUCAGUAGCCGACCUGAGAGGGUGAUCGGCCA
rnacentral:rRNA from 1 species